UACGGAGGGUGCAAGCGUUAUCCGGAUUCACUGGGUUUAAAGGGUGCGUAGGUGGGUCUGUAAGUCAGUGGUGAAAUCUCCGAGCUUAACUUGGAAACUGCCAUUGAUACUAUAGCUCUUGAAUAUUGUGGAGGUCAGCGGAAUAUGUCAUGUAGCGGUGAAAUGCUUAGAUAUGACAUAGAACACCAAUUGCGAAGGCAGCUGGCUACGCAUAUAUUGACACUGAGGCACGAAAGCGUGGGGAUCGA
rnacentral:rRNA from 1 species